rnacentral:rRNA from 1 species
GUGGGGAAUAUUGGACAAUGGGCGAAAGCCUGAUCCAGCCAUGCCGCGUGAGUGAUGAAGGCCUUAGGGUUGUAAAGCUCUUUCAGUAGGGAAGAUAAUGACGGUACCUACAGAAGAAGCCCCGGCUAACUUCGUGCCAGCAGCCGCGGUAAUACGAAGGGGGCUAGCGUUGUUCGGAUUUACUGGGCGUAAAGCGCACGUAGGCGGAUUGGUCAGUUAGGGGUGAAAUCCCAGAGCUCAACUCUGGAACUGCCCUUAAUACUGCCAAUCUAGAGUCCGGAAGAGGUGAGUGGAACUCCUAGUGUAGAGGUGGAAUUCGUAGAUAUUAGGAAGAACACCAGUGGCGAAGGCGGCUCACUGGUCCGGUACUGACGCUGAGGUGCGAAAGCGUGGGGAGCAAACAGGAUUAGAAACCCGUGUAGUCC